rnacentral:rRNA from 1 species
GGCUCAGGAUGAACGCUAGCUACAGGCUUAACACAUGCAAGUCGAGGGGCAGCGGGAUUGAAGCUUGCUUCAAUUGCCGGCGACCGGCGCACGGGUGAGUAACGCGUAUCCAACCUUCCGUACACUCAGGGAUAGCCUUUCGAAAGAAAGAUUAAUACCUGAUGGUAUGAUGAGAUCGCAUGGUAUCAUCAUUAAAGAUUUAUCGGUGUACGAUGGGGAUGCGUUCCAUUAGGUAGUAGGCGGGGUAACGGCCCACCUAGCCUUCGAUGGAUAGGGGUUCUGAGAGGAAGGUCCCCCACAUUGGAACUGAGACACGGUCCAAACUCCUACGGGAGGCAGCAGUGAGGAAUAUUGGUCAAUGGACGAGAGUCUGAACCAGCCAAGUAGCGUGAAGGAUGACUGCCCUAUGGGUUGUAAACUUCUUUUAUACGGGAAUAAAGUGAGGCACGUGUGCCUUUUGUAUGUACCGUAUGAAUAAGGAUCGGCUAACUCCGUG